rnacentral:rRNA from 1 species
UACGUAGGGCGCAAGCGUUGUCCGGAAUUAUUGGGCGUAAAGAGCUCGUAGGCGGUCUGUUACGUCUGCUGUGAAAACCCAGGGCUUAACCCUGGGCUUGCAGUGGAUACGGGCAGACUAGAGUGCUGUAGGGGAGACUGGAAUUCCUGGUGUAGCGGUGAAAUGCGCAGAUAUCAGGAGGAACACCGGUGGCGAAGGCGGGUCUCUGGGCAGUAACUGACGCUGAGGAGCGAAAGCGUGGGGAGCGAACAGG